GGGUGGGAGGGUAGCUGACUGUAGUAUCUGUCACCCAUUGCUCACCAGAGUUGAUUCAGUUGAUCUGGCUGGCUAUGUGGGUGUCCCUUCCUCCCUCACCACUCCAUGUGUGUCCCUCCCAAAACUGCAUACACCCAACAGAUGAGGACCAUUCUUCGGUCAAGGAUAUAUGAGUAGCUAUGCUCCCCUGUUAACAAACAAGCUCUCCCCACCAAACAAGGUCCAAAGGAUGCAUAUUACUAAUAUAAACAUAAGACCUAUGUUAAUCCAGUCAGUUUGAUGUUUUUCCCAAAAUUUCUUUAUGU
rnacentral:snRNA from 1 species